rnacentral:rRNA from 1 species
UACAGAGGUCUCAAGCGUUGUUCGGAUUCAUUGGGCGUAAAGGGUGCGUAGGUGGCGCGCUAAGUCAGGUGUGAAAUUUCGGAGCUUAACUCCGAAACUGCAUUUGAUACUGGCGUGCUUGAGGACUGGAGAGGAGACUGGAAUUCACGGUGUAGCAGUGAAAUGCGUAGAGAUCGUGAGGAAGACCAGUGGCGGAAGGCGGGUCUCUGGACAGUUCCUGACACUGAGGCAGCGAAGGCCAGGGGAGCAAACGGG